rnacentral:rRNA from 1 species
GAGACAUGUGCAGGGGGUCUCGGAAGAGUUCUCUUUUCUCCUUUACAAUUCUGGCUCGACAUUACUGGCUUUGCUAGUUUAUUGCGAGUAAACUGUGACCAUGAAAAUACGUUCAGUAGUGAAGUGGUUAUACGAGGAUUGGUAGGGCAGGCAUUUUUUGUCCUGUGUAGUAUUCUCCUGUGCAUCAAAGAAAAUCGAAUGGGGCGUUUUCGUGAAGUUUACUUCCUCUUUCUAUACUCUGAUCCGUACCAGAAUCCGCAUCAGGUUCCCGAGGUUAACAGCCUCUGGCCAAUUAGAUUAAUGUAGGUAAGGGAAGUCGGCAAAAUGGAUUUGUACCCUCGGUACAAAGGUUGGCUCUUGUGACAGUGUGGUUUGGGUAUUGUAAGAACCUAGCCGCCUUGAUUUCGGUUAAGGUUAUGUGCAAAAGAAGGCAGGGACUCUCUAGUACUUUCGGGGAAAGGGAGGAAGCGUCAUGCUCUUGUACUGGUUAGGGGACGACUUUACGCAGAUGUGAUUUGGUGUUCUGGGUCAUGUCGAACAAGCCACAAUAAGCUGUCGAACGAGAACCGAUAGAUUCCGGAGGAAUCCGACUGUUUAAUUAAAACAAAGCAAAGAGA